GUUCGUGGGGUAUGCGAAGAACCUUACCUACUCUUGACAUCCAGCGAACUUUCCAGAGAUGGAUUGGUGCCUUCGGGAACGCUGAGACAGGUGCUGCAUGGCUGUCGUCAGCUCGUGUUGUGAAAUGUUGGGUUAAGUCCCGCAACGAGCGCAACCCUUAUCCUUUGUUGCCAGCGAUUCGGUCGGGAACUCAAAGGAGACUGCCGGUGAUAAACCGGAGGAAGGUGGGGAUGACGUCAAGUCAUCAUGGCCCUUACGAGUAGGGCUACACACGUGCUACAAUGGCGCAUACAAAGAGAAGCGACCUCGCGAGAGCAAGCGGACCUCACAAAGUGCGUCGUAGUCCGGAUCGGAGUCUGCAACUCGACUCCGUGAAGUCGGAAUCGCUAGUAAUCGUGAUCAGAUGUAAUGCCG
rnacentral:rRNA from 1 species